GCCCCAUUUAGAGGCGCCGGUGGCGCCGCCUCUUGCAGGGCAGAGGAGCGCGCUGGGCGCUGCCGGCCCUCCUCUUGGUGGGGCGCCGGGAUCCUGUGCCGAGGGCCCCGCUGGACGUGCCGGGGAGCUCCUCCGCGUCGGGACCCCCGGAGCUGCCGGAGGGCGCGGCGCUGGGGGCGGCGGGAUCCUGCGGGGAGGAGACGGGACCGGACGGGGCAGCGGGGCCGUCCUCGUGCUCCGGGGCAGCGCCGAGGUCUUCGAGCCGUUCUCCUGCUCCUGUGCAGCGCCGGGGUCUUCGGAGCCGUUCUCCUGCUCCUGGGCAGCGCCGGGGUCUUCGGAGCCGUUCUCCUGCUCCUGAGCAGCGCCGGGGUCUUCGGAGCCGUGCUCCUGCUCCUGGGCAGCGCUGGCAUCUUCGAGGCCCAGCAGCCUCCGGGCCUCCUGGCCGCACCGGCUCACGAUGACUUCGAUGAGCGCGUCCAUGAAUGCUGCCGUGAUAGGUCCCAGGGCGUGCUCUAUGCACUGCACCUGGGUGUCCCUGUCCGGCCCCACCUGGCACAGGAACGCCAGGAUCACGCUCCUCAGCCAGUUGAUCUUCCACCAGCACAGCUCCCCGUUGCGACGUAUCUGCUGCUCAAUCCAGGGCAGCACCGGGUCGAGGAUGUCUCGUCUGACCCUGAACAGCGCAGCCCAGACCUCUGGAGGGAGGCCGCCCACUCUCUCCGGCUCCGCGGCCAUGGGCUCAGGGGACGCUGGUGCAGAGGGCGGAGCAGAUGCCGCAGCGCCUCUGCGGCCGGUGCUGGUGAUGAAGCCGACGGGCACCGGCACUGCGGGUGGGGACACGAUGCAGUCCACGAACUGAUUGUCUCCCCGCACGCAGACCCGGAUGGUCCGCAUGGCCGUCCUGCACAGCGGGCAGCUGUCCCUCACCUUCGCCCACCGAUGGAUGCAGCCCAGGCAGAACGUGUGAUUACAUGGAAUCACACGGGCCAUGUCCUGUCGCACAUCGCGACAGAUGGAACAUGUCCACUCCUCUCCUGCAGACAUGUUCCUCUCGCUGCAGCUGUCCGGGAGAACUGA
rnacentral:lncRNA from 1 species